rnacentral:rRNA from 1 species
AGAGCGUAGGGAGAAUGCCUAGGUACCAAGAGCCGACGAAGGACGUGAUAAGCUGCGAAAAGCUACGGGGAGGAGCAAAUAUCCAUCAAUCCGUAGAUAUCCGAAUGAGGGAACUCAUAUGGCGAAAAGAAGCCAUAUAUCUAUGUGUGAGUAAAGUAGCACAUAAGAGGGGAACGUGGGGAACUGAAACAUCUAAGUACCCAUAGGAAGAGAAAAUAAAUAAUGAUUUCUGGAGUAGUGGCGAGCGAAACAGAAAGAGCCCAAACCAUAAGUAGAAAUACAUAUGGGGUACGGACUACCAAAAGCUACUAAUAAGUCUAAUAGAAUCAUCUGGGAAGGUGAACCAAAGACGGUGAAAGUCCAGUAUAUGAAAGAUAAGUUAGGGUAGGUAGAAUCCAGAGUAGUGCGAGACACAGGGAAUCUCGUAUGAAAGAGCGGGGACCAUCCCGUAAGGCUAAAUACUACUUGGUAACCGAUAGUGAACGAGUACCGUGAGGGAAAGGUGAAAAGGACCCCGGGAGGGGAGUGAAAAAGAACCUGAAACCCUAUGUUUACAAGCAGAUAGAGCGAUUUAAGGCGCGAUAUCGUACUUUUUGUAGAACGGUCCAGCGAGUUAUUGUAUAUGGCGAGGUUAAGUUGUAAGUAAGCAACGAAGCCGGAGUGAAAGCGAGUCUGAAGAGGGCGUAAAAGUCAUAUGUAAUAGACCCGAAACCGGGUGACCUAUCCAUGGUCAGGAUGAAGCUAGAGUAAAAUCUAGUGGAGGUCCGAACUCAUAAGCGUUAAAAAGCUUCGGGAUGAACUGUGGAUAGCGGAGAAAUUCCAAUCGAACUCGGAGAUAGCUGGUUCUCCUCGAAAUAGCUUUAGGGCUAGCCUUGAGGUAAAACAUGUGGGGGUAGAGCACUGAAUGAUUUAGGGGCCAAACCAGGUUACCGACAUCUAUCAAACUACGAAUACCAUGUGGAAGUACUCAGGAGUCAGACUGCGGGAGCUAAGUUCCGUGGUCAAAAGGGAAAGAGCCCAGACCGACAAUUAAGGUCCCCAAGAGAUAGUUAAGUGGAAAACGAUGUGAAAAUGCAAAGACAACCAGGAUGUUGGCUUAGAAGCAGCCAUACAUUAAAAGAGUGCGUAACAGCUCACUGGUCGAGUGAAUUUGCGCGGAAAAUUACCGGGGCUAAACUAUCCACCGAAAUUGCGGAUUGUAGUACAUUUAACAAUAUGUAUAGGAAAGAAUAUAUAUUGUUAAGUGUACUGCAGUGGUAGAGGAGCAUUCUGUAGUAGGAAGAAGCUAAAGCGAAAGCAUUGGUGGACGAGACAGAAGAGAGAAUGCUGGAAUAAGUAGCGAGAGCAAGGUGAGAAUCCUUGCCGUCGAAAGUCUAAGGUUUCCUGGGGAAGGUUCGUCCGCCCAGGGUAAGUCGGGACCUAAGGAGAGGCCGAAAGGCGUAUCUGAUGGAUAGCAGGUGGAAAUUCCUGCACUAUAGCCAUACUUAAAAGAUGCAAGGGACGCAGGAGAGGAAGAUAACCGAGAAAGAGGAAAAACUCGGAUCGAAAGAUGGAGUGAAAAUAGAAGUAACGAAGUAUCAAGAAUCACACUGACGAGAAAAGCUUGUAGAGAUUGUAUGGAAAUACCCGUACCGCAAACCGACACAGGUAGAUGAGGAGAGGAUCCUAAGACGAACGGGAGAAGCAUUGUUAAGGAACUCGGCAAAAUGACCCCGUAACUUCGGGAGAAGGGGAGCCUAAGUAAAAUUAGGUCGCAGAGAAAAGGCCCAAGCAACUGUUUAACAAAAACACAGGUUUCUGCUAAAUCGAAAGAUGAAGUAUAGGAGCUGACGCCUGCCCAGUGCUGGAAGGUUAAGGGGAAAUGUUAGGAGCAAUCCGAAGCAUAGAACUGAAGCCCCAGUGAACGGCGGCCGUAACUAUAACGGUCCUAAGGUAGCGAAAUUCCUUGUCAGGUAAGUUCUGACCCGCACGAAAGGCGUAAUGAUUUGGGCACUGUCUCGACAAUGUACCCGGCGAAAUUGUAGUACUAGUGAAGAUGCUAGUUACCUGCGACAAGACAGAAAGACCCCAUGGAGCUUUACUGUAGUUUGAUAUUGGGUUUCGGUAAUUUAUGUACAGGAUAGGUGGGAGACAAAGAAGGAUAGGCGUCAGCUUAUCUGGAGUCAACGUUGGGAUACCACUCUUAAGUUAUUGAAAUUCUAACUUGUGAUCAUAAACUGGUCAGAGGACAAUGUCAGACGGGCAGUUUGACUGGGGCGGUCGCCUCCAAAAGAGUA